rnacentral:rRNA from 1 species
AACUUAAGCAUAUCAAUAAGCGGAGGAAAAGAAACCAACAGGGAUUGCCCUAGUAACGGCGAGUGAAGCGGCAACAGCUCAAAUUUGAAAUCUGGCGUCUACGGCGUCCGAGUUGUAAUUUGUAGAGGAUGCUUCUGGGUAGCCACCGGUCUAAGUUCCUUGGAACAGGACGUCAUAGAGGGUGAGAAUCCCGUAUGCGACCGGAAAGGCACCCUCCACGUAGCUCCUUCGACGAGUCGAGUUGUUUGGGAAUGCAGCUCUAAAUGGGAGGUAAAUUUCUUCUAAAGCUAAAUACCGGCCAGAGACCGAUAGCGCACAAGUAGAGUGAUCGAAAGAUGAAAAGCACUUUGGAAAGAGAGUUAAAAAGCACGUGAAAUUGUUGAAAGGGAAGCGCUUGCAACCAGACUUGCUCGCGGUGUUCAGCCGGUCUUCUGACCGGUCUACUCGCCGCGUUGCAGGCCAGCAUCGUCUGGGGCCGCCGGAUAAGACUUUGGGAAUGUAGCUCCUUCGGGAGUGUUAUAGCCCAUCGUGAUGCGGCGCGCCCCGGGCGAGGUCCGCGCUUCGGCUAGGAUGCUGGCGUAAUGGUCGUAAGCGGCCCGUCUUGAAACACGGACCAAGGAGUCUAGCAUCUAUGCGAGUGUUCGGGUGUAAAACCCCUACGCGUAAUGAAAGUGAACGGAGGUGGGAACUUUUUGUGCACCAUCGACCGAUCCUGAUGUCUUCGGAUGGAUUUGAGUAAGAGCAUAGCUGUUGGGACCCGAAAGAUGGUGAACUAUGCCUGAAUAGGGUGAAGCCAGAGGAAACUCUGGUGGAGGCUCGCAGCGGUUCUGACGUGCAAAUC